rnacentral:rRNA from 1 species
CAGUAGCCGCGGUAAUACGUAGAUGGCAAGCGUUGUCCGGAAUUAUUGGGCGUAAAGGGCUCGCAGGCGGUUUCUUAAGUCUGAUGUGAAAGCCCCCGGCUCAACCGGGGAGGGUCAUUGGAAACUGGGAAACUUGAGUGCAGAAGAGGAGAGUGGAAUUCCACGUGUAGCGGUGAAAUGCGUAGAGAUGUGGAGGAACACCAGUGGCGAAGGCGACUCUCUGGUCUGUAACUGACGCUGAGGAGCGAAAGCGUGGGGAGCGAGCAGGAUUAGAUACCCCUGUAGUCCCUGUCUCUUAUAC